CCUACGGGGGGCUGCAGUGGGGAAUAUUGCACAAUGGGCGCAAGCCUGAUGCAGCCAUGCCGCGUGUGUGAAGAAGGCCUUCGGGUUGUAAAGCACUUUCAGCGGGGAGGAAGGCGGUGAGGUUAAUAACCUCAUCGAUUGACGUUGCCCGCAGAAGAAGCACCGGCUAACUCCGUGCCAGCAGCCGCGGUGAAUACGGAGGGUGCAAGCGUUAAUCGGAAUUACUGGGCGUAAAGCGCACGCAGGCGGUCUGUCAAGUCGGAUGUGAAAUCCCCGGGCUCAACCUGGGAACUGCAUUCGAAACUGGGAGGCUAGAGUCUUGUAGAGGGGGGUAGAAUUCCAGGUGUAGCGGUGAAAUGCGUAGAGAUCUGGAGGAAUACCGGUGGCGAAGGCGGCCCCCUGGACAAAGACUGACGCUCAGGUGCGAAAGCGUGGGGAACAAACAGGAUUAGAUACCCCAGUAGUC
rnacentral:rRNA from 1 species